rnacentral:hammerhead_ribozyme from 1 species
AGCCGAAACGGCCAGAAAUGGCCGUCAGCCGUGGGAUGAUCUCCCGGCUCUGAAGAUGGCAGAUCAGA